GACGAACGCUGGCGGCGUGCUUAACACAUGCAAGUCGAACGGAAAGGCCCUGCUUUUGUGGGGUGCUCGAGUGGCGAACGGGUGAGUAACACGUGAGUAACCUGCCCUUGACUUUGGGAUAACUUCAGGAAACUGGGGCUAAUACCGGAUAGGAGCUCCUGCUGCAUGGUGGGGGUUGGAAAGUUUCGGCGGUUGGGGAUGGACUCGCGGCUUAUCAGCUUGUUGGUGGGGUAGUGGCUUACCAAGGGUUUGACGGGUAGCCGGCCUGGGAGGGUGACCGGCCACAUUGGGACUGAGAUACGGCCCAGACUCCUACGGGAGGCAGCAGUGGGGAAUAUUGCACAAUGGGCGGAAGCCUGAUGCAGCAACGCCGCGUGCGGGAUGACGGCCUUCGCGUUGUAAACCGCUUUCGCCUGUGACGAAGCGUGAGUGACGGUAAUGGGUAAAGAAGCACCGGCUAACUACGUG
rnacentral:rRNA from 1 species